rnacentral:rRNA from 1 species
GACGUAGGGGGCAAGCGUUAUUCGGAAUUACUGGGCGUAAAGCGCGUGUAGGCGGGUCUUUAAGUCAGGGGUGAAAUGCCAAGGCUCAACCUUGGAACUGCCUUUGAUACUGGAGAUCUUGAGUCCGGGAGAGGUGAGUGGAACUGCGAGUGUAGAGGUGAAAUUCGUAGAUAUUCGCAAGAACACCAAUGGCGAAGGCAGCUUGCUGGGCUAUUUCUGACACUGAGACGCGAAAGCGUGGGGAGCGAUUGGG